rnacentral:rRNA from 1 species
GAUGAACGCUAGCGGCAGGCUUAAUACAUGCAAGUCGAGGGGCAGCACGGGUAGCAAUACUUGGUGGCGACCGGCGCACGGGUGCGUAACACGUAUACAAUCUACCUUAAACAGGGGGAUAGCCUUUCGAAAGAGAGAUUAAUACCCCGUAACAAAUUGAGUGGCAUCACUUGAUUUUGAAAGUUCCGACGGUUUAAGAUGAGUAUGCGUCUGAUUAGCUAGUUGGUGGUGUAAUGGACCACCAAGGCGACGAUCAGUAGGGGAUCUGAGAGGACUACCCCCCACACUGGUACUGAGACACGGACCAGACUCCUACGGGAGGCAGCAGCAAGGAAUAUUGGUCAAUGGAGGCAACUCUGAACCAGCCAUGCCGCGUGCAGGAAGACGGCCCUAUGGGUUGUAAACUGCUUUUGUACCAGAGAAAACCUACUCACGUGUGAGUAGCUGAUAGUAUGGUAAGAAUAAGCUCCGGCUAACUCCGUGCCAGCAGCCGCCGUAA